CCUACGUGCGGCAGCAGUGAGGAAUAUUGGUCAAUGGGCGAGAGCCUGAACCAGCCAAGUCGCGUGAAGGAUGACGGCCCUACGGGUUGUAAACUUCUUUUGUCAGGGAGCAAUUGAGUCCACGUGUGGGCUUAGCGAGAGUACCUGAAGAAAAAGCAUCGGCUAACUCCGUGCCAGCAGCCGCGGUAAUACGGAGGAUCCGAGCGUUAUCCGGAUUUACUGGGUGUAAAGGGAGCGUAGACGGAAUAGCAAGUCUGAUGUGAAAACCCGGGGCUCAACUCCGGGAGUGCAUUGGAAACUGUUGAUCUAGAGUGUCGGAGAGGCAAGCGGAAUUCCUAGUGUAGCGGUGAAAUGCGUAGAUAUUAGGAGGAACACCAGUGGCGAAGGCGGCUUGCUGGACGAUGACUGACGUUGAGGCUCGAAAGCGUGGGGAGCAAACAGGAUUAGAUACCCGAGUAGUC
rnacentral:rRNA from 1 species